rnacentral:rRNA from 1 species
GACGUAGGGCGCGAGCGUUGUCCGGAUUUAUUGGGCGUAAAGAGCUCGUAGGCGGCUUGUCGCGUCGAAUGUGAAAACUCGGGGCUUAACUCCGGGCCUGCAGUGGGUACGGGCAGACUAGAGUGCGGUAGGGGAGACUGGAAUUCCUGGUGUAGCGGUGAAAUGCGCAGAUAUCAGGAGGAACACCGGUGGCGAAGGCGGGUCUCUGGGCCGUAACUGACGCUGAGGAGCGAAAGCGUGGGGAGCGAACAGG